ensembl:lncRNA
GUCCAUAUUCUAACCCCUGGAGCCUGCUAACGUUAUCUAAAUGGGAAAAGGGUCUUUGAAGAUGUAAUUAAACAACUCGAGAUGAAGUGGAUUAUCUGGAUGGGCCCUAAAUCUAAUGCAAAUAUACUCACAAGAGACAGAAUGGAAAACAUAGCCAGCAGGAAGCCAAGUGACCUUGGAGCAGAGACUGGAGUGAGCGGCCCCAGGCUCAGGAGUGCUGAGGCUCCCGAGGACCAGGAGUCCCAGGGGUUUCCUCCUCCAGAUCCUCCAGAAGCAGCGUGACCCCGCUGACACCUAUUUCAGACGUCGGCCUCUGCAACCGUGAGAGGAUCCGUUUCUGUUGUGUUAAGCCACACAGUCCCAGUACUUUGUUACAGAAGCCUCAGAAAAGGAAUGGAGUGUUCACAGUCCAUCUCUCCCAGCCGUCCUAAUCCAGCCUGUCUGGGGAUGCCCACGGGGCUUCCCCAGUCUCCCUGGGAUCCUGCUCCAGAAAGAAAGGCUGUGGGAUUAUGCUGAUUGGCGGCAGACACAGCGCUUUGCCAAAAAGAGAGAAGCACCAGACUAGACCAGAGCCCCUUCGGCAUCUGAUUCAUUCUGUGGGAUUCCUCAUCCACUGGCAGCGUAGAGAACGACUGGGAAAAAAAGCAGGAAAACGUGUGCAGCGAUUUGCCACCAUUAACCACAGAAGGUUACCUGUCUAUUUCCAAUCAAUCUAAGUAAAUCCUCUCAAGAUGAAAGGGUGGGAUACUUGUCAAUAAUAAACAAUACGACUGAUUUUUACUUCCCAGAAGCUUCAUUUGUAAAGUACUUUUAAUAUGCAGGUUAAUUUGCACUCUCUUGUCUCACAAUACCUCUGUGAAGAAGGUCAAUAGAUAUGAUUAUGGAUCUUUCAAAGCUGUGCAUCUUAAAGCUGGAAAACUACUGAAGGCAGCCUGAUUGAAAGGUCAAGUCUGGAUGCCACAGGAAAGUAUGGUAUGGAGGAGUAUCGACAGACAAGAGUUAAUAUUUACAAUGUAAAUCAUGUAGCUAUGUAGCUCUGUAUUUAACAGAUCAAUGGACUUCACCGUGUCAUGGGAGUUUGAAACUGAGAAGUCAUUUCUUGGCAGUGAGUGGAAAACCAUAUUUUAAAAAAUUCACAGUGAGAUCAUAGUGUUGAAAUCCAGGCUCUGUU